rnacentral:rRNA from 1 species
GACGAACGCUGGCGGCGUGCCUAACACAUGCAAGUCGAGCGAGCGGCGGACGGGUGAGUAAUGUAUGGGGAUCUGCCCGAUAGAGGGGGAUAACUACUGGAAACGGUGGCUAAUACCGCAUACUAUCGGAUGAACCCAUAUGGGAUUAGCUAGUAGGUGGGGUAAAGGCUCACCUAGGCGACUAUCUCUAGCUGGUCUGAGAGGAUGAUCAGCACCACUGGGACUGAAAAACGGCCCAGACUCUUACGGGAGGCAGCAGUGGGGAAUAUUGAACAAUGGGAGAGAGCCUGAUGAAGCCAGGCCGAGUGUAUGAAGAAGGCCUUAGGGUUGUAAAGUACUUUCAACGGGGAGGCGUUACACGCAGAAUAAGCACCGGCUAAAUCCGUGCCAGCCGCCGCGGUAAUUC